rnacentral:rRNA from 1 species
CCCGGUAAACGGCGGCCGUAACUAUAACGGUCCUAAGGUAGCGAAAUUCCUUGUCGGGUAAGUUCCGACCUGCACGAAUGGCGUAAUGAUGGCCAGGCUGUCUCCACCCGAGACUCAGUGAAAUUGAACUCGCUGUGAAGAUGCAGUGUACCCGCGGCAAGACGGAAAGACCCCGUGAACCUUUACUAUAGCUUGACACUGAACAUUGAGCCUUGAUGUGUAGGAUAGGUGGGAGGCUUUGAAGCGUGGACGCCAGUCUGCGUGGAGCCAACCUUGAAAUACCACCCUUUAAUGUUUGAUGUUCUAACGUUGGCCCCUGACCGGGGUUGCGGACAGUGUCUGGUGGGUAGUUUGACUGGGGCGGUCUCCUCCCAAAGCGUAACGGAGGAGCACGAAGGUUAGCUAAUCCUGGUCGGACAUCAGGAGGUUAGUGCAAUGGCAUAAGCUAGCUUGACUGCGAGCGUGACGGCGCGAGCAGGUGCGAAAGCAGGUCAUAGUGAUCCGGUGGUUCUGAAUGGAAGGGCCAUCGCUCAACGGAUAAAAGGUACUCCGGGGAUAACAGGCUGAUACCGCCCAAGAGUUCAUAUCGACGGCGGUGUUUGGCACCUCGAUGUCGGCUCAUCACAUCCUGGGGCUGAAGUAGGUCCCAAGGGUAUGGCUGUUCGCCAUUUAAAGUGGUACGCGAGCUGGGUUUAGAACGUCGUGAGACAGUUCGGUCCCUAUCUGCCGUGGGCGCUGGAGAAUUGAGGGGGGCUGCUCCUAGUACGAGAGGACCGGAGUGGACGCAUCACUGGUGUUCGGGUUGUCAUGCCAAUGGCACUGCCCGGUAGCUAAAUGCGGAAGAGAUAAGUGCUGAAAGCAUCUAAGCACGAAACUUGCCCCGAGAUGAGUUCUCCCUGAGACUUUAAGUCUCCUGAAGGAACGUUAAAGACGAUGACGUUGAUAGGCCGGGUGUGUAAGCGCAGCGAUGCGUUGAGCUAACCGGUACUAAUGAACCGUGAGGCUUAACCUU